AGAGUUUGAUCCUGGCUCAGGAUGAACGCUAGCGGCAGGCUUAAUACAUGCAAGUCGAGGGGCAGCACGAAUAGCAAUAUUUGGUGGCGACCGGCGCACGGGUGCGUAACACGUAUGCAACCUUCCUUCAACUGGGGAAUAGCUCACCGAAAGGUGAAUUAAUACCCCAUAAUAUUCGAGAGUGGCAUCACUUUCCAAUUAAAGAAUUUCGGUUGAAGAUGGGCAUGCGCAACAUUAGCUAGUUGGUGAGGUAACGGCUCACCAAGGCUACGAUGUUUAGGGGAUCUGAGAGGAUUAACCCCCACACUGGUACUGAGACACGGACCAGACUCCUACGGGAGGCAGCAGUAAGGAAUAUUGGACAAUGGGCGCAAGCCUGAUCCAGCCAUGCCGCGUGCAGGAUGACGGCCCUAUGGGUUGUAAACUGCUUUUAUACGGGAAAAAACCCUCGCUCGUGAGCGAGGCUGAUGGUACCGUAAGAAUAAGGAUCGGCUAACUCCGUGCCAGCAGCCGCGGUAAUACGGAGGAUCCAAGCGUUAUCCGGAUUUAUUGGGUUUAAAGGGUGCGUAGGCGGAUUUGUAAGUCAGUGGUGAAAUCCUGCAGCUCAACUGUAGAACUGCCAUUGAUACUGCAAGUCUUGAGUACAUAUGAUGUGGGCGGAAUGUGUAGUGUAGCGGUGAAAUGCUUAGAUAUUACACAGAACACCGAUUGCGAAGGCAGCUCACAAAACUGUAACUGACGCUGAGGCACGAAAGCGUGGGGAGUGAACAGGAUUAGAUACCCUGGUAAUCCACGCCUUAAACGAUGAUUACUCGAUGUGUGCAAUACACCGUACGCGUCCUAGCGAAAGCGUUAAGUAAUCCACCUGGGGAGUACGAUCGCAAGGUUGAAACUCAAAGGAAUUGACGGGGACCCGCACAAGCGGUGGAUGAUGUGGUUUAAUUCGAUGCAACGCGAAAAACCUUACCCACCUUUGACAUGUACGGAAGUUGCCAGAGAUGGCUUCGUGCUCGAAAGAGAGCCGUAACACAGGUGCUGCAUGGCUGUCGUCAGCUCGUGUCGUGAGAUGUUGGGUUAAGUCCCGCAACGAGCGCAACCCUUGUCAUUAGUUGCUACGAAAGGGCACUCUAAUGAGACUGCCGGUGACAAACCGGAGGAAGGUGGGGAUGACGUCAAGUCCUCAUGGCCCUUAUAGGUGGGGCUACACACGUCAUACAAUGGCCGGUACAAAGGGUUGCCAACCCGCGAGGGGGAGCUAAUCCCAUAAAGCCGGUCGUAGUCCGGAUCGCAGUCUGCAACUCGACUGCGUGAAGUCGGAAUCGCUAGUAAUCGUGGAUCAGAAUGUCACGGUGAAUACGUUCCCGGGUCUUGUACACACCGCCCGUCACACCAUGGGAGCGGGUUCUGCCAGAAGUAGUUAGCCUAACCGUAAGGAGGGCGAUUACCACGGCAGGGUUCGUGACUGGGGUGAAGUCGUAACAAGGUA
rnacentral:rRNA from 1 species